AUUGAACGCUGGCGGCAUGCUUUACACAUGCAAGUCGAACGGUAACAGGCCGCAAGGUGCUGACGAGUGGCGAACGGGUGAGUAAUGCAUCGGAACGUGCCCAGUCGUGGGGGAUAACGCAGCGAAAGCUGCGCUAAUACCGCAUACGAUCUAUGGAUGAAAGCGGGGGACCGUAAGGCCUCGCGCGAUUGGAGCGGCCGAUGUCAGAUUAGGUAGUUGGUGGGGUAAAGGCUCACCAAGCCAACGAUCUGUAGCUGGUCUGAGAGGACGACCAGCCACACUGGGACUGAGACACGGCCCAGACUCCUACGGGAGGCAGCAGUGGGGAAUUUUGGACAAUGGGCGCAAGCCUGAUCCAGCAAUGCCGCGUGCAGGAAGAAGGCCUUCGGGUUGUAAACUGCUUUUGUACGGAACGAAACGGCUCUCACUAAUACUGGGGGCUAAUGACGGUACCGUAAGGAUAAGCACCGGCUAACUACGUGCCAGCCGCCGCAGUAAGAC
rnacentral:rRNA from 1 species